AUUGAACGCUGGCGGCAGGCCUAACACAUGCAAGUCGAGCGGAUGAAGGGAGCUUGCUCCUGGAUUCAGCGGCGGACGGGUGAGUAAUGCCUAGGAAUCUGCCUGGUAGUGGGGGAUAGCGUCCGGAAACGGGCGCUAAUACCGCAUACGUCCUGAGGGAGAAAGUGGGGGAUCUUCGGACCUCACGCUAUCAGAUGAGCCUAGGUCGGAUUAGCUAGUUGGUGGGGUAAAGGCCUACCAAGGCGACGAUCCGUAACUGGUCUGAGAGGAUGAUCAGUCACACUGGAACUGAGACACGGUCCAGACUCCUACGGGAGGCAGCAGUGGGGAAUAUUGGACAAUGGGCGAAAGCCUGAUCCAGCCAUGCCGCGUGUGUGAAGAAGGUCUUCGGAUUGUAAAGCCCUUUAAGUUGGGAGGAAGGGCAGUAAGUUAAUACCUUGCUGUUUUGACGUUACCAACAGAAUAAGCACCGGCUAACUUCGUG
rnacentral:rRNA from 1 species